rnacentral:lncRNA from 1 species
UUGAAAGGUAAUCUUGCUUCUAGAAUGGCCGGUGCAUGCAUUGAAAAUGCUAGACAAUUCUAGCAUGAAUAUGGCAUGUGUUCAUUAUGUUCAUAAGCAAAGUCUAUGUUGGUGGGCUACUUUAAGAGAAUCAAGAAUAAUGGCUAGGAUGAUUUCAUACUUGGUAUUCACACUUGGUAUGGUUGGUUAUGCUUGCCUAUAAAUAUAGGUGAGUGUGUUGUAAUGUAAGAUAUAAGAAGAAGAAAAGAGAAGUGAGAAAGAAGAAGAAGAAGUAAGAGAGACAAGAAGGCUCUCUAAAGUGAGAAUAAGUAGAAGAAGCAUUCAUAGCUUCCAAGAGUGUUUGAGUGAUUUCUCUUGUAUUAGUUUGUGUGAGAAUAAGAAAAGUUUUGAGUGUUACCUUGAAUAUUCUUUUUCUCUUGCCUAUCAAUUUCCGCUGUGUUACAUUCUUAUUUGUGAGAUAGACAUCUCCAAAGUAGAGAAGUCUUUUAAAUCCCAACAAAGUGGUAUCAGAGCCAUGGCUAACAAUGCUAUGGCAGCUUUCCAAGUUCCAGUGCUCAACAACAACAACUUCGAUAAUUGGUAUAUCAAAAUGAAGGCCCUUUUGGGAGCACAUGAUGUAUGGGAAGUCGUGGAGAAAGGCUACACUGAGCCAGAAGAUGAAGCUACUUUGUCCCAACCCCAGAAGGAGAGUUUGAAAGAUUCAAGAAAGAGAGACAAGAAGGCUCUCUACCUCAUCUACCAAGCAUUAGAUGACAAUGGUUUUGAGAAGGUCUCAAGUGCAACCUCCACCAUGCAAGCAUGGGAGAAGCUUCAAACCUCUUACAAAGGAGCCGAACAAGUGAAAAAGGUUCGUCUUCAAGUAUUAAGAGGUGAGUUCGAAUCUUUACAAAUGAAAGGGUCUGAAUCAAUCUCCGAUUACUUCUCAAGAGUGUAGCCGUUUCCAAUCAAUUAAAAAGAAACGGUGAAAAAUUAGAAGAUGUAGAAUUAUGGAGAAGAUACUACGCUCGUUGGACCCCAAGUUCGAGCACAUUGUCGUGACAAUUGAAGAAACUAAAGACUUGGAAGAAAUCAGUAUAGAGCAAUUAAUGGGUUCGCUACAAGCAUAUGAAGAGAAACAUAAGAAGAGGCAAGGGAAUGAUGAGCAGCUCCUCAAGAUACAUAUUCAGCCAAAGAAGAAAGAAGAAAGCUUCGACAACGAGAGAAGCCAGUACGGAAGAAGUCGUGGCCGAGGUCGCGGACGUGGACAUGGACGUGGACGCAGUUGGAACUUCAACAACCAUAGCAACUACGAAAGAGGAGAAAGCUCAACAAAAGGUCGUGGGAGAGGACGCUCAAACUUGAGGUAUGAAAAAUCUCAAGUUCAAUGCUAUAAUUGUCAAAAGUUCGGGCAUUAUGCUUGGGAAUGUAGAGCUCCAAACAACAGACUUGAUGAGAAGGUCAAUUAUGUGAAAGAAGAUAAAGAAGAGAAUGGCGUUAUGCUACUAGCAUGCAAGAACAAUGAUGGAGACCAAGACUAUACAUGGUAUCUUGACACCGGCGCCAGCAACCACAUGUGUGGAAAAAGAAGCGUGUUCGUAGAGCUCAAUGAAUCAGUGAGUGACAACGUUUCUUUUGGAGACGAAUCCAAAAUACCCGUAAAAGGAAAAGGUAACAUCCUUAUUCCCCUUGAAAAUGGCGGUCACCAAUUAAUUUCAAAUGUCUACUACGUGCCCAAUAUGAAAAGCAACAUUUUGAGUUUGGGUCAACUCUUAGAAAAAGGUUAUGAUUUUCAUACAAAAAAUUAUAUCCUUUUUCUUAGAGAUGACAAAGGAAGAUUAAUUGCCAAGGCGAAAAUGUCAAAAAAUAGGAUGUUUCCCAUGAACAUUCAAAACGAUGUUGCAAAGUGUCUCAAGAUAUGUUACAAAGACAUAUCUUGGCUUUGGCAUCUUCGUUUUGGGCAUCUUAACUUCGGGGGAUUGGAGUUAUUAUCUAAGAAGGAGAUGGUGAGAGGAUUACCGUGCAUCAGCCACCCUGAUCAAGUUUGUGAAGGAUGCUUACUUGGAAAACAAUUCAGGAAAAGCUUUCCAAAGGAGUCGACCACAAGAGCCCAGAAGCCACUUGAGCUCAUUCACACCGAUGUGUGCGGUCCUAUAAAACCAAGCUCUUUGGGUAAAAAUAAUUAUUUCCUUCUCUUCAUUGAUGAUUUUUCAAGAAAAACCUGGGUUUAUUUCUUGAAGCAGAAAUCAGAAGUCUUUGGAGCAUUCAAGAAGUUCAAAGCCGCCGUAGAAAAAGAGAGUGGUUACAAGAUCAAAGCCAUGAGAUCUGAUCGAGGAGGAGAAUUCACUUCAAAGAAAUUUCAAGAAUUUUGUGAAGCCAAUGGAAUUCGUCGACCUUUGACAGUUCCAAGAUCCCCUCAACAAAAUGGUGUGGCGGAAAGAAAAAAUCGAACUAUCCUCGACAUGGCUCGAAGUAUGCUCAAAAGCAAGAGAUUGCCUAAGGAGUUAUGGGCAGAAGCUGUAGCAUGUGCUGUCUACCUAUCCAAUCGAUCUCCAACAAGAAGUGUGUGGGGAAAGACUCCGCAAGAAGCAUGGAGUGGAAGAAAACCAGGUAUCUCUCAUCUAAGAGUUUUUGGAAUAGCCCAUGUACAUGUACCAGAUGAGAGGAGAGCCAAACUCGACGACAAAAGUGAGAAGUUCAUCUUCAUCGGCUAUGACUCAAAUUCAAAAGGCUACAAGUUGUAUAAUCCAAACAAUGGAAAGACGGUGAUCAGUCGAGACGUGACGUUCGACGAAGAAGAAGAAUGAGAUUUUGGCCCCGCAUGCAGGAGAUCUUCAUUUCUUUCCUCAAUUUGAAGAAGAGAAUGAACAAGGGACGAUGGAGCAAGCAAGAGAGGUUCAACAAAAAUCCACUACUCCACCUACUUCACCAAUAUCAACCAAUCGUGGCAAUUCACCAGCAUCAACAUCAUCAAGUGGGAGCCUAAAUGAAAGAGAAGUACCACGCACAAGAAGUAUACGAGAUCUCUAUGAGGUAGCUGAAAGACUUGAUAAUCCUACACUUUUCUGUCUCUUUGCUGAUUGUGAACCAGUCGACUUCCAAGAAGCAGUACAAGAUACUAAGUGGAGGAAAGCAAUGGAUGAAGAAAUCGAAGCAAUCGAGAAAAAUGAAACAUGGGAACUCACUGUUCUUCCAAAAGGACACAAAGCCAUCGGAGUCAAGUGGGUGUACAAGACAAAGAAAAAUGCCAACGGAGAGGUCGAAAGAUACAAGGCGAGACUAGUGGCGAAAGGUUAUAGUCAAAGAGCCGGAAUCGACUAUGAUGAGGUAUUUGCACCUGUUGCUCGUUUGGAAACGAUACGAUUGCUAAUUUCUUUGGCAGCUCAAAACAAAUGGAAGAUUCAACAAAUGGAUGUGAAGUCCGCCUUCCUAAAUGGAGUCCUUGAAGAAGAAGUCUACAUUCAGCAACCAUCAGGCUAUGAAAUCAAAGGGCAUGAAGACAAGAUUCUGAAGCUGAAGAAAGCCCUCUAUGGGUUAAAACAAGCGCCAAGAGCAUGGAAUAGUCGCAUCGACAAGUACUUCCAAGAAAACAACUUCACCAAGUGCCCUCAUGAACAUGCUCUUUACGUCAAAGUCAAAGAUGGAGAUAUUUUGAUUGUGUGCUUAUAUGUGGAUGAUCUAAUCUUCACUGGGAGUAAUCCAAGCAUGUUUGAAGAGUUCAAGAAAGUGAUGACCAAAGAAUUUGAGAUGACGGACAUCGGGCUAAUGGCAUACUACCUAGGCAUUAAAGUUAAGCAGAGCGAAGAAGGCAUUUUCAUCUCCCAAGAAAGCUACACAAAUGAGAUACUGAAAAAGUUCAAAAUGCACGACUGCAAGCCCAUAAGCACGCCAGUGGAGUGUGGAGUCAAACUAACCAAGCAUGAUGAAGGAGAAAGUGUAGAUCCAACAUUUUUCAAGAGUCUAGUUGGAAGCUUGCGCUACUUGACAUGCACAAGACCAGACAUUCUCUAUGUCGUCAGAUUAGUCAGUCGCUACAUGGAGAAUCCCACAACUACACACUUGAAGACUGCCAAAAGAAUUCUUCGAUACCUUAAAGGUACUAUUAACUUUGGCUUGUUCUAUUCAAGUUCUAGUAACUACAAACUUGUUGGAUAUAGCGACAGUGAUUGGGCAGGAGAUUCUGACGAUAGAAAAAGCACUACUGGAUUUGUGUUCUUCAUUGGAGACACUGCAUUCACAUGGAUGUCGAAGAAGCAACCGAUUGUCACACUAUCUACAUGUGAAGCUGAAUACGUAGCUGUUACCGCAUGUGUUUGUCAUGUAAUUUGGCUGAGAAACUUGCUGACAGAAUUAAGCAUGCCACAAGAAGAACCAACAGAGAUCUAUGUCGACAAUAAGUCUGUAAUAGCUCUAGCAAAAAAUCCAGUAUUUCAUGACAGGAGCAAGCACAUAGAUACCCGCUAUCACUACAUAAGAGAGUGCAUUGCAAGAAAGGAUGUGCAAGUGGAAUACGUGAAGUCUCAAGACCAAAUUGCAGACAUAUUCACUAAGCCACUUAAGCAAAAAGUCUUUAUCAGACUGAGAAACUCAAUCGGCGUCACAAGCAAGAUUAAGAGGGGAUGUUGAAAGGUAAUCUUGCUUCUAGAAUGGCCGGUGCAUGCAUUGAAAAUGCUAGACAAUUCUAGCAUGAAUAUGGCAUGUGUUCAUUAUGUUCAUAAGCAAAGUCUAUGUUGGUGGGCUACUUUAAGAGAAUCAAGAAUAAUGGCUAGGAUGAUUUCACACUUGGUAUUCACACUUGGUAUGGUUGGUUAUGCUUGCCUAUAAAUAUAGGUGAGUGUGUUGUAAUGUAAGAUAUAAGAAGAAGAAAAGAGAAGUGAGAAAGAAGAAGAAGAAGUAAGAGAGACAAGAAGGCUCUCUAAAGUGAGAAUAAGUAGAGAAGCAUUCAUAGCUUCCAAGAGUGUUUGAGUGAUUUCUCUUGUAUUAGUUUGUGUGAGAAUAAGAAAAGUUUUGAGUGUUACCUUGAAUAUUCUUUUUCUCUUGCCUAUCAAUUUCCGCUGUGUUACAUUCUUAUUUGUGAGAUAGACAUCUCCAAAGUAGAGAAGUCUUUUAAAUCCCAACAGGCUGCAGCUGGUGGUGGUUGAAGCUGUGUGUGCGUGCGUUGUCAAUGAUGUAUAACAGAAACACAGAUUGAAUUAGUUGCUUAGGAAUCUUGCUAUCUGUGACUAUACACAAACACAGUACGUGUUGAGCCAAAAUCAUGCAUCCAUCUUGC